GAUGAAGAACGCAGCGAAAUGCGAUAAGUAAUGUGAAUUGCAGAAUUCAGUGAAUCAUCGAAUCUUUGAACGCACAUUGCGCCCGCCAGUAUUCUGGCGGGCAUGCCUGUUCGAGCGUCAUUUCAACCAUCAAGCCCCAGGCUUGUGUUGGGGACCUGCGGCUGCCGCAGGCCCUGAAAACCAGUGGCGGGCUCGCUGUCACACCGGGCGUAGUAGAUUUUAUCUCGCUCAGGGCGUGCUGCGGGUUCCGGCCGUUAAAAAGCCUUUUUUACCCAAGGUUGACCUCGGAUCAGGUAGGAAGACCCGCUGAACUUAAGCAUAUCAAUCGGAGGA
rnacentral:misc_RNA from 1 species